GACGAACGCUGGCGGCGUGCUUAACACAUGCAAGUCGAACGGAAAGGCCCUGCUUGCAGGGUACUCGAGUGGCGAACGGGUGAGUAACACGUGGGUGAUCUGCCCUGCACUUCGGGAUAAGCCUAGGAAACUGGGUCUAAUACCGGAUAGGAGCCAUUUUUAGUGUGAUGGUUGGAAAGUUUUUUCGGUGUAGGAUGAGCUCGCGGCCUAUCAGCUUGUUGGUGGGGUAAUGGCCUACCAAGGCGGCGACGGGUAGCCGGCCUGAGAGGGUGGACGGCCACAUUGGGACUGAGAUACGGCCCAGACUCCUACGGGAGGCAGCAGUGGGGAAUAUUGCACAAUGGGCGCAAGCCUGAUGCAGCGACGCCGCGUGGGGGAUGACGGCCUUCGGGUUGUAAACUCCUUUCGCUAGGGACGAAGCUUUUGUGACGGUACCUAGAGAAGAAGCACCGGCUAACUACGUG
rnacentral:rRNA from 1 species